GGAGAGAUGGCUGAGUGGUUGAUAGCUCCGGUCUUGAAAACCGGUAUAGUUCUAGGAACUAUCGAGGGUUCGAAUCCCUCUC
rfam:Hordeum vulgare subsp. vulgare, WGS project CAJW01000000 data, contig: morex_contig_981208